rnacentral:rRNA from 1 species
CAUUACUGAGAGGUCUAAAAAACCACUAGUUGGGGGUCUCUUCCCCUCUAGUAGUUCCUCACAGUUUUGUGCAAAGUCGGGUCAACUUGGUUGGCUCUGCCUUGUGCUGUAGAUCUGGUUGUUGGCAUAGAGACCCUCCUUUUAGGAGACUUGUGCCACUACUAAGAUCUAGGCUGCUUGAAAAGAGACGUAUGGACCCUUCUUUCAGGAGACCUAUGUCUCGAGUCAAAGCAAGCAAGGCAAGCCUUUGGGGCUCUAGUACUAACUAUCCCCAAAGGUGUUUAUUCUUCUCGUGUAAACCAUGAUGUACGAAAAAGUUAGUUGUUAACUUAAAAACAACUCUUGGCAAUGGAUCUCUUGGUUCUCGCAUCGAUGAAGAGCGUAGCAAAGUGCGAUAAUUAUUGCGACUUGCAUUCAUAGCGAAUCAUCGAGUUCUCGAACGCAUCUUGCGCCUAGUAGUCAAUCUACUAGGCACAGUUGUUUCAGUAUCUGCAACUACCAAUCAGUUCAACUUGGUUCUUUGAACCUAAGCGAGCUGGAAAUGGGCUUGUGUUGAUGGCAUUCAGUUGCUGUCAUGGCCUUAAAUACAUUUAGUCCUAGGCAAUUGGCUUUAGUCAUUUGCCGGAUGUAGACUCU